AAUAAGUGCAGUUUUAGCACUGUUCAUAUCUAACGUUUGACCGUUCGUCUUAUUUGGAAAAAAAAUAGUACUUUAUGUGUGACUAAUUUUUUUAAAUUUUUUCAUAAAUUUUUUAAAUAAGACGGAUGGUCAAAACGCUAAACGCGGAUAUCUAUGCUGCAUUUAUU
rfam:Oryza sativa (indica cultivar-group) chromosome 7, whole genome shotgun sequence.